UAGCUGUUUUAGUGUUGGCGUAGAUGAAGGUCUUCUUUACUUCCAUAGUUCCCUCAUAUGUUUUAUGUAGCUUCCCUCAUUGGGUCAGCUGUUGUAGUAGCAGUCAAGCCGGUCUAGGUUCUCACUUCGUGUCCAAGAAUAGUUUGUCCUAGUAGCGCACUCGGCAUCAGAUUGCCCUGGUUCCCUAGCAUCCGAUGGGGACCUUGUUACUCUCUUGGUUCAUGUUACUCUCAUUAUUGGGUUGGGUAUGGUAUAUAUUGUUAGGAGUCUUGCCCAGGAACACUUAAUGGUAAAUCUCAAAGAUGGAGUUCCUGGUUCCAAGACAGUGACUUUACCACUGCACUAACAGAUGUUAGCAGGGACAGCAUACACUGAGAGGCACAACCAAGUUGCUGAGAAUGUGAACAAAAAUAUCUGCACAGAAUAUGGGCUGGACCUGCCUAAUUCUAGUUGGUAGAUAGCAUAAAGUGUAGUUGACAAUGACAAGGCUAAGAGCCUCUUGAGAUUUUCAUAUCAAGACAGACAAGCAAAUAGUGGCCAACCAACCUGACAUCGUGGUAGCAGACAAGGAACAGAAGACUGCCGUGGUGGUGGAUGUGGCAGUACCACGUGUCUAUAACAUCAGGAAGAAGGAACAUGAGAAAGUGGACAAAUACCUAGGACUGAAAGGCGCUAGAAAGGAUGUGGAAAGUAAAGGCAGUAGAAGGCUCAGUUGUGAUUGGAGCACUUGGGGCUGUGACACGCAAGCUGAGAUCGCUGUCCAAAAGAGUUCAGUUCCAGGAACAGCUAAGAUACUGCGCAGAACCGUCAGACUACCAGGACACCACCUUGGACAGAGCCGCCACCAGAAAUUUUGGGGCCACUAACUCAGCUUAGGGUCUGGGCCCCCUGGGGCACGCCUCCAAUCCCGUCACAGGGUCCGCCUCCAAAUCCCGCCCACAGGAAUACACACACACAAACACAAACACACACACACUGAUACAAAAGGACACAGAUACAUACUAACAGACACACAUACUGAAACAGACAUACACGCAAAUAGGCAUACAUACUGACACACAGGCAUACAUAGUGACAGAGACACAUACUAACAUACAUACAGACACACAUGCAUGAGGACAUACAGACACAUACAUACAUACACACUGACAUACAUACAGACACCGACAUACAUACACACAUACAUUCAUAAUGACAAACAGACAUACAUAAAUUCAAACUGGCAUACAUACAUAUAUAGAUACAGACAUACAUUCAUUCAUACAGAUGGACAGACACACAUGCAUACAGACACUGACAUCCAUACAUACACUGACAUACAUUCAUAAUGGCAUACAGACAUACAUUCAUACUGGCAUACAUGCAUAUAUACAGACAUACUGACAGUCAUACAUACAUAUUCAUUGAGGCAGUCAGCU